rnacentral:lncRNA from 1 species
ACAACAACAGCAGGAGGAGAGGAAAUAGUACCGAGAACAAACCCUUCAAGCCCAUAUCCUUCAAGAAUCAACAAAAGUUGAUGUUUCCAUAACAGAAAGUUAUGUGAGGACAGUUUGAUGGUGUCAUGCUUGGAGAAAUAAUGGACUGUCGAUGCACAAACCAUGUCAUUUCCCUGUGAAUGUGCAGCCUCCCUAGUGUUGGAGGAGUGUCGAGGUGUCUCAGGUACUU